rnacentral:rRNA from 1 species
UACGUAGGUGGCUAGCGUUGUCCGGAUUUACUGGGCGUAAAGAGCGCGCAGGCGGUCGUUCAAGUCGAGUGUGAAAGCCCCCGGCUCAACUGGGGAGGGUCACUCGAUACUGAUCAACUCGAAGGCAGGAGAGGGAAGCGGAAUUGCCGGUGUAGUGGUGAAAUGCGUAGAGAUCGGCAGGAACACCCAGGGGGAAACCAGUCGACUGGGCAUCUACUGACGCUGAGGUGCGAGAGCGUGGGGAGCGAACCGG